rnacentral:rRNA from 1 species
AUGGCGACCGGCGCACGGGUGAGUAACACGUAUCCAACCUGCCGAUGACUCGGGGAUAGCCUUUCGAAAGAAAGAUUAAUACCCGAUGGCAUAGUUCUUCCGCAUGGUAGAACUAUUAAAGAAUUUCGGUCAUCGAUGGGGAUGCGUUCCAUUAGGUUGUUGGCGGGGUAACGGCCCACCAAGACUACGAUGGAUAGGGGUUCUGAGAGGAAGGUCCCCCACAUUGGAACUGAGACACGGUCCAA